UAAAGUGAGAGUUGCAUCUUUUUGACUGUAAACUUUUGUUCUUAUCUUAAAUUAAGUUCGUUAAAUUAUAAAAGAUGUAGCAUAUAAGUAUAUAAAAAGAAAAUACAAAAUUGUGUUCUAUUUUUUAAAAGAAGAUUUUGGAGAAAUCGUCCGAAAAAGUGGAAUAUUUUUGAUGAAAAAAAUGUUCAGUACCAUUACGAUUGUUGAGUAUUGAUUUGAACUCGAAGCUUCUGUUUCGAAAACAUCAUAACUGAAACCCGAAAAUGAUACUCGUAUGACUUAGUAGUUAUGGAGAAUAUCAAUUUUUCUUGAUACAACAUAAAGCAGUCACAACUUACUGUCAGAAUGUCCAGUUCAUUGGACCAGCAGGUCAGAUUUAGUUGUCAUCCAAGGUAACAGUCAACUGUCAGAAUGGUGAGUUUAAUGGUCCAGCCAGUGUAGGCUUAGCUAUUUACCAUAUGUACUUUCAAAAAUGUUAUUUUUAUCAUCACAUUUAAGGUAAAAAUUAAUCAGUUUGUGUCCACGUAACUGUGUCUGAUUUGACUUUCUCAAAUAAAGACAAAUAUUUAAUAUAGGAAGUUGGUGUUGACUUUAUUUUCACCU